rnacentral:rRNA from 1 species
ACGGGUGAGUAACGCGUGGGUAACCUACCCUGUACACACGGAUAACAUACCGAAAGGUAUGCUAAUACGGGAUAAUAUAUUUGAGAGGCAUCUCUUGAAUAUCAAAGGUGAGCCAGUACAGGAUGGACCCGCGUCUGAUUAGCUAGUUGGUAAGGUAACGGCUUACCAAGGCGACGAUCAGUAGCCGACCUGAGAGGGUGAUCGGCCACAUUGGAACUGAGACACGGUCCAA